rnacentral:lncRNA from 1 species
AGCAGGAGUCGGAAGUGGCCCAGGCGCAGGAGAGCGCGGAGAAGGGCUGGGCGGCGGCCCGGGAGCCGGACUCGGACCGCGAGGCCCAGAUCGCUGGGCGCUGGAGAACAGGACCCUCUUGGGAGAUGUGCAUAGGAUACGGUAUUCCUGAGCCUCUCAGUUUCUUCCGUUGUAAAAAUGAGACGCCAACCUCGUAGUGUGUUGAGAUGGUUAAAUGGGGCCAUACACAUUUGCACUGUGCCUUGCACUUAACAAGAACGCGUGAAUGUUAGUGUCUGCUGCCAUCAUUAUUGACUAUUAUGAUGAUGAUCCGUGAAAGCCCCUGAAUUCCGCCUGCUCUUUUGCUUUUAAUUUUCUGCGGGCCUUAAGUCUACCCUACGAUAGCUGACGCGCUCCCGAUUCCUGGUUUCCAUUUGCGGAGAAUGCAGGGCUUCCUCUUGGAGUUAAAGACUCAUUGGCUCCUGGAAAGCCCUCGCUCUCUGCCGCCCCCCGCGGACUUAGCUGUGACUGUCCUUGCCUGUGGAGCAGAAGGCUUGCCCUCCUCAGGGGCCACCCGAGACCGCCAGGAUGGAGUAGGAUCUGGACCUUCAGUCUGUUGAGGAGCCCUGGCCCGGGGUAGCCAUUUUCAAGGGCGAGGGACCUUGGUGGGAGUACGAUGAAUCCAUCCAUACAAUAAACAUCCAUUAAGCACCUAGUACAUGGCAGCGGGGGGCAGAGGGCUGGAAAUAUUAAUAAUACUAGUAAAACUUAAUAUGUGUAGGUCACCGUUCUACUCCUUACAACAAUCUAUGAUAUAGAUCCUGUCGCUAUCCCUGUUUUACAAAGGGAAAGGGAGACAUCGUGAAGUAAAUAGCCUUCCCAAAGAAAGUUACACGUUUGGGAAAUGGCUGAGUUUGGCUUGGAGAGAGGAAAGUAAACUCUUGAUAGGUGAAAUAGACAAAAUCACAACACAUUUGGGUUUAAUGCAAAAGAUAGAAACAUACACAAGGUACGGAGGUUUUUAAAAGAGGACCUUGUCCUGUGGUUAUAACUUUGGGGAAGGGCGUCAGGGAGAUCUUCCUGGUGUAGGUGAUGUCUGAGCUGGGUUUGGAAGAAGAAAUGGGAGCUUCAAAGGCAGCUUAUAAGUGAAGAAGAAUCACAGUAAACUUUUUCAAGCCUGAAUAAGGAUGGAGGAGAAGUGGAAUGGUGGCCGGAAUAAAGCUAAAACAGUAAAACAGGACCAAACUCAAGGGCUGUUUUCCUAUAGAAACUAAACAACAUUAAUUUGACCUUUGAUUGGUAGGAAGCCAGAAGGGUUUUAAGCACAGGAGAUAUGUCAGGUGUGGUUCUAGAAAGUUUAAUCUGGAAACAUAGAAGAUCCCAGAACCAAGAAACUUGCUUAGGAAAUAUUGAAAUAUGUCGGUGAGAUACUUCAGUAGGCAGAAUGAGUAGAGUUACAGAAAGAGGUCCACUUCUUAAUCCCUGGAACCUGUAAAUAUGUUAUCUUACAUGGCAAAAGAAUUUUUGCAGGUGUUACCUUCUCAUUCGGUCAUGGGAAAAAAAAGAAUAAAGAAAUUUUGCAGGUGUGAUUAAGAUUGAUGCCAUUGAGAUGGGGGAUUAUCCUGGAUUAUUUCAGUGAGCCCAAUCUAAUCACAUGAAUCCCCUAAAAUGGAAGAAGAGUGGGUCAAAGAGAUUCAAAGUGUGAGAGGGACUCAACCUGAACCACGAACCAAGGACUGUGGAUAACCUCCAGGAGCUGGGAAAGGACCUUAGCUGACAGCCAACAAAAAAUUCACUUUCUUUAUCUGGUCUAGACUUGUUUUUCUUCCACAGUCCUACAACAGCAGAAACUGAAUUCUGCCAAUAACCUAAAUGAGCAAGGAAAUGGAUCCUCCCUUAGAGUCUUCAGAAAGUGAUUGAGCUCUACUGACACCUUAAUUUUAUCCUGAAGGGGUUUCACCAUGUUUCCCAGACUGGUCUUGAACUCCUGGACUCAAGCAAUCCUCCCACUUUGACCUCUCAAAGUGCUGGGAUUACAGACAUGAGCCACCCCUCCUCCCCUGCUUUUUUUGAGACAUGGUCUCACUUUGGACCCAGACUGAAGUAGUGGUAUGAUCACUACUCACUGCAGCCUCAACCUCCCCAGCUCAGACAAUCCUCCUGCCUCAAGUAGCUGGGACCACAAGAAUGUGCUACCAUGCCCGGCUAAUUUUUAAAUUAUUUGUAGAGAUGGGGGUCUUCCUAUGUUGCCCAGGCUGGUCUUGAACUCUUAGGCUCAAGCAAUCCUCUUGCCUGGGCCUUCCAGUGCUGGGAUUACAGGAACUGGCCACUGCACCUGGCCUAGCGUGUUUUUGUAUGUUCAAAGAAACGUUUUGAGAGUAAAUUUGUGUGGAUUUUUUUUUCACAUGUGGUAUAAACUAUUCACGUUACAAUAGUAAACAAUCUUAUGGACAAGUGUAGGGGGGCUGUUUUUUUCAUUCAGGAGCACAGUGCUUUAUUUGUAAAAUAAAUCACGAUUUCCUUUAAAAAAAUCACACACCUUUAUGGAGGAUAUUUUUGGAUUCUUUGAUAUCUUGUUAAACGACACUUACCUUCAUUUACUUCCUUCUCUCCCUUCACCAAUAAGCCUCCAAAGGACAUCAGUUCCUCUGAAGAUGGCCUAUUUCAGAACUAAUUUCCCAAAAUAUUCACACCUAAUCACAUACAAUUUCCAACUCUAUUUUUCAGUAGCCAGUUAUUUGUUCUAUUUCACCAUUCAGAAUGAGACCCUCUCCUUCUAAACUCCAGUUCAUAUUGUGUCAGUACCAGUAGAAUCCUGCACUCUUCUAUGUACCCCUUUUCCAAUCAUUUUCUGCUACAGUGUGGGGUCUGGGAGACUCAGAUAUUUAUUUCCUAAAUUAUAUGUAAUUUAAAGGUUGCUGUCUUCUCUGCCAUCUAAUAUGCUUAGGUAUGGUAUCUGAGUGAUUUGUUCUUUUUGUUCUUUAAAGGGAUUUGUGAAACAGUUGAAAUUUAGAUGACUGUCAUUACUGUAUAAGAAUCUUGGGCUUCUGACUAUGAGGUACAGGGCCAUGGUGAAUGCUUAUAUAACUUAUUAGGGGGAUGUGUUGGGGUGAAGUCUAGCCCUCGCUUCAUUUGCUGUUUCUUGUGGAACUGCAUUAUCAGAAGAUAUGCCUCAUUUGUAGGGCUACAUCCAUGUAACUUCAUCUACACAUGAAGUUUUCUUUAAUGUAAACUCCAGAUGGGGCAUUCCCCCCCGUCAUAAAACUUCUCAUUAGGAAAAAGCCCUAUGAGAUCUUAACAUACACUGCAAGUAUUGUAGCUUGCUUAGUUAUCUUCAUGUCUGAAUGGCCAUAGUAAUCUGAUGCAUUUUCUGCAAAACACAGAAUGAAACAACCCAAAUACAGACAACCAGAUCCUAUUUUAAGGAAUUAUCUUUGCUUGUGUUCAGAAUAAACUGAAAAAAAAAAAAAAAAGGUAUGGCUUCAGAAAACAAAUAUGCUGCAAUUUCAGAAAUGAUGCUAAGAGUAGAUUCCAAAGGAUUUUUAAAACUUAUUUAACGUAUGUCCAGGGAUACACCAUACUGGCUGAGUUCUGUUACACAGGUCAUACCUGUACAUUGCAUAGAAAAUUGAUUGUCCAUGAAUAAAGCAUUUUUUCCACUGUGGAGUGAAAUGUGUUGUCACACCAAUUGUUUCUAUUAGUCAUCUGUAUUUGCAGUGGAAGAACUUAAAAGUGUUUUUGUUCCAAGGACCCCUGUGAAACAAUGUGACACUCUCAGUGUUAGUUCCUUGAGUAAUGGACCAUAUAUGUGCAAUGACAGCCAAGCAGAAAGAAAAAACAUCUUGAAAAGCUCAAAAACAGAUUCAGCUUUGAAAAUAACUGGACUGAAAUCUACACACAUUUCUAGAAUACUAACAGGCACAUUCAAAUAAUCUAUGAUCAACUUUUUCCAGGUACUCCAAUGCAGCAAUCCCCAACCCUUUUGGCACCAGGGACUGGUUUCGUGGGAAGACAGUUAUUCCAUGGAGCCAGAUGGUUUCAGGAUGAUUCAAGCGCAUUACACGUAUUGUGCAGUUUAUUAUUACAUUGUAAUAUAUGAUGAAAUAAUUAUACAACUCACCAUGACAUAAAAUCAGUGGGAGUCUUGAGCUUGUUUUCCUACAACUGGAUGGUCCCAUCUGGGGGUGAUGGGAGACAGUGACAGAUCAUCAGGCAUCACUCUCAUAAUGAGCACACAACCUAGAUCCCUUGCAUGCGCAGUUCACAGUAGGGUUCCUGCUCCUAUGAGAAUCGAAUGCCUCCACUGAUCUGACAGGAGGCGGAGCUCAGGUGGUAAUGCAAGCAAUGGGGAGCAGCUAUAAAUACACAUGAAGCUUUGCCCAACACUCACCUCCUGCUGUGCAACCCGGUACCAGUUGUCACCCAUGGGCUGGGGACUCCUGCUCCAAAGGGUAACAUUUUAACAUUCAGCUUAAAUAAAUUUCACCAAAAAUAUCUCAACAAUUCAAAGAGGAGUGUUCCUGACACCAGAUCACUUUAUUCAACAGAGCAGCUCCCAAAGUCAUGAAGUACUACUUGGUUUAAAAAUAAAGCUGUUUUUCCCACGUACACACAUUCAACAAAACUAUCUUUGGUAUUACUUUACUGAGUGAGGUUUAAAGGAGUUUGGGAAAAUAUUACAGCCUUCUUCCUUUU